GACGAACGCUGGCGGCGUGCUUAACACGUGCAAGUCGAACGGAAAGGCCCUUCGGGGUUCUCGAGUGGCGAACGGGUGAGUAACACGUGGGUGAUCUGCCCUGCACUUUGGGAUAAGCCUGGGAAACUGGGUCUAAUACCGAAUAGGACCGCGCUCUUCAUGGGGUGUGGUGGAAAGCUUUUGCGGUGUGGGAUGGGCCCGCGGCCUAUCAGCUUGUUGGUGGGGUAAUGGCCUACCAAGGCGACGCCGGGUGGCGGGCAUGCGAUGGUGCGCGGCCACACUGGGACAGAGGAGCGGCCAAGCCUGCUACGGGAGGCAGCAGUCGGGAUUAUUGAACAAUAAGCGCAAGCCUGAGACAGCGUAGCCGCGUGGGGGAUGCCGGCCUUCGGGUUGUAACCUUCUUACAGGACCGACGAAGAGCAAGUGGCGGUAGGUACAGAAGAAGGACCGGCUACCUACGUGCCAGCCGCUCCGGUAAUAC
rnacentral:rRNA from 1 species